rnacentral:rRNA from 1 species
CUGGUUGAUCCUGCCAGUAGUCAUAUGCUUGUCUCAAAGAUUAAGCCAUGCAUGUCUAAGUACAUGCCGAAACAAGGCGAAACCGCGAAUGGCUCAUUAAAUCAGUUAUGGUUCCUUAGAUCGUUUCUUCCUACUUGGAUAACUGUGGCAAUUCUAGAGCUAAUACAUGCAGUGAGCCCGAAGCCCCUCGGGGCGACGGGUGCUUUUAUUAGACCAAGAUCAAUCGGGCCUCGGUCCGUUUUGUGUGGUGACUCUGGAUAACUUUGUGCUGAUCGCACGGCCACGAGCCGGCGACGUUUCUUUCAAGUGUCUGCCUUAUCAACUGUCGAUGGUAGGUUAUGCGCCUACCAUGGUUGUUACGGGUAACGGAGAAUCAGGGUUCGAUUCCGGAGAGGGAGCCUGAGAAACGGCUACCACAUCCAAGGAAGGCAGCAGGCGCGCAAAUUACCCACUCCCGGCACGGGGAGGUAGUGACGAAAAAUAACAAUACGGGACUCUUUUGAGGCCCCGUAAUUGAAAUGAGUACACUCUAAAUCCUUUAACGAGGAUCCAUUGGAGGGCAAGUCUGGUGCCAGCAGCCGCGGUAAUUCCAGCUCCAAUAGCGUAUACUAAAGUUGCUGCGGUUAAAAAGCUCGUAGUUGGAUCUCAGUUACAGGCGGGAAGUGCGUGGACACCACGUUACGGCCCGUGCUGAACAUCAUGCCUGUCGUGGCUUGGUUCCCUUCAUCAGGUGCCUUGCCUUGGCCGGCGCGUUUACUUUGAAAAAAUUAGAGUGCUCAACGCAGGCGAUUCGCCUGAAUAACAGUGCAUGGAAUAAUAGAACAAGAUCCUGUUUCUGUUCUGUUGGUUUUUGGAAUACAGGAUAAUGAUUAAGAGGGACAGACGGGGGCAUUCGUAUUGCGGCGCUAGAGGUGAAAUUCUUGGACCGUCGCAAGACGAACUACUGCGAAAGCAUUUGCCAAGAAUGUUUUCAUUGAUCAAGAACGAAAGUUAGAGGUUCGAAGGCGAUCAGAUACCGCCCUAGUUCUAACCAUAAACGAUGCCAACCAGCGAUCCGCCUGAGUUACUCAAAUGACUCGGCGGGCAGCUUCCGGGAAACCAAAGUAUUUGGGUUCCG